AUGACAAAGCUAGCGAUGCCGCUCGUUGCGACGUUCCUGACACUCGGGCUGGCAGUGCUCCUGCUGUCCGCCGCCGGUCGCGCGGUCGCGCAGAGCUGCGGCUGCCCGGCGCACUUGUGCUGCAGCCAGUGGGGUUUCUGCAGCACGGGCCCAGACUACUGCGGCGCCGGGUGCCAGUUGGGGCCGUGCACGGUGGCGAGCAGUGGCGCCGCAGCUGCGGAGGCGUCCGGCGGCAAGCCCGUGGGGAGCGAGCGCACACCAUAG
rnacentral:rRNA from 1 species